rnacentral:rRNA from 1 species
CUAAUCGCAUCUUUCCCUUCGGGGACAGAAGUGACAGGUGGUGCAUGGUUGUCGUCAGCUCGUGUCGUGAGAUGUUGGGUUAAGUCCCGCAACGAGCGCAACCCUUGCCUUUAUUGCCAGCAUUAAGUUGGGCACUCUAGAGGGACUGCCAGGGAUAACCUGGAGGAAGGUGGGGAUGACGUCAAAUCAUCAUGCCCCUUAUGCUUAGGGCUACACACGUGCUACAAUGGGUGGUACAGAGGGCAGCCAAGUCGUGAGGCGGAGCUAAUCCCUUAAAGCCAUUCUCAGUUCGGAUUGUAGGCUGAAACUCGCCUACAUGAAGCUGGAGUUACUAGUAAUCGCAGAUCAGAAUGCUGCGGUGAAUGCGUUCCCGGGUCUU